rnacentral:rRNA from 1 species
UACGUAGGGUGCAAGCGUUGUCCGGAAUUAUUGGGCGUAAAGAGCUCGUAGGCGGUUCGUCGCGUCGGCUGUGAAAACCCGGAGCUCAACUCCGGGCCUGCAGUCGAUACGGGCGGACUAGAGUUCGGCAGGGGAGACUGGAAUUCCUGGUGUAGCGGUGAAAUGCGCAGAUAUCAGGAGGAACACCGGUGGCGAAGGCGGGUCUCUGGGCCGAUACUGACGCUGAGGCGCGACAGCGUGGGGAGCAAACAGG